CCUACGGGUGGCAGCAGUGGGGAAUAUUGGACAAUGGGCGCAAGCCUGAUCCAGCAAUGCCGCGUGUGUGAAGAAGGCCUUCGGGUUGUAAAGCACUUUUAUCAGGAGCGAAAUACUACCGGCUAAUAUCCGGUGGGGCUGACGGUACCUGAGGAAUAAGCACCGGCUAACUUCGUGCCAGCAGCCGCGGUAAUACGAAGGGUGCAAGCGUUAAUCGGAAUUACUGGGCGUAAAGGGUGCGUAGGCGGUUCGUUAAGUCUGUCGUGAAAUCCCCGGGCUCAACCUGGGAAUGGCGAUGGAUACUGGCGAGCUAGAGUGUGUCAGAGGAUGGUGGAAUUCCCGGUGUAGCGAUGAAAUGCGUAGAGAUCGGGAGGAACAUCAGUGGCGAAGGCGGCCAUCUGGGACAACACUGACGCUGAAGCACGAAAGCGUGGGGAGCAAACAGGAUUAGAUACCCUGUAGUC
rnacentral:rRNA from 1 species